CAUGCAGGCGGUUAUACAAGUAGGAUGUGAAAGCCUGGGGCUCAACCUCAGAACUGCAUUCUAAACUGUGUGACUAGAGUAUUGCAGGGGGUAGACGGAAUUUCAGGUGUAGCGGUGGAAUGCGUAGAUAUCUGAAAGAACACCAAAGGCGAAGGCAGUCUCCUGGGCAAAUACUGACGCUCAUAUGCGAAAGCGUGGGUAGCAAACA
rnacentral:rRNA from 1 species